GAUGAACGCUAGCGGGAGGCCUAACACAUGCAAGCCGAGCGGUAGAAUCUUUUCGGAGAUUUGAGCGCGGCGUACGGGUGAGGAACACGUGUUCAACCUGCCUUUGUCUGGGAGAUAGCCUUUCGAAAGGAAGAUUAAUAUCCCAUAAUAUCUUGAGUGGCUUCACUUAGUAUUGAAAGCUCCGGCGGAUAGAGAUGGGCACGCGCAAGAUUAGAUGGUUGGUGAGGUAACGGCUCACCAAGUCUACGAUCUUUAGGGGGCCUGAGGGGGUGAUCCCCCACACUGGUACUGAGACACGGACCAGACGCCUACGGGAGGCAGCAGGGAGGAAUAUUGGACAAUGGGUGCAAGCCUGAUCCAGCCAUCCCGCGUGAAGGAUUAAGGUCCUAUGGAUUGUAAACUUCUUUUAUACAGGGAUAAACCUCUCCUCGUGAGGAGAGCUGAAGGUACUGUAUGAAUAAGCACCGGCUAACUCCGUGCCAGCAGCCGCCGUAACAC
rnacentral:rRNA from 1 species